rnacentral:misc_RNA from 1 species
GAACAACGAUGAGCGAGUUCCAGCAGCAAGGCGGUAUUAAUCAAUCACAGGCACUCGCCCAGGCAAUCCAGCGUGCCAAGCAGAUCGCAGCCAAGAUCCAGCCGAGCCAGCAGGGCGGAGCCACAGCGGGUCCAUCGCCACCGUCUUGCGGUGGAGCGUCCGCUUUUAAGCGAAUGAACGACGACGGCGACAGCGGUCCGGAGUGCAAACGCUCCUUAGGCAGCCCAGAGUACGGCAACAAUAGCUCCAACAUGAGCAGCGGCAGCGGGGGUGGUGGCGGAGGUGGUGGCCAGGGCGGUGCCAGCAUUACCCAGGCAAUCGCCCAGGCAGCUGCGGUAGCGGCUCGUUUGGCCGCCUCGGCGGGAACAAGCUGUGAGGAGCAGAUUCGCUUGCCCGAAUCGGUGGCCGGCGCUUUUAUGGGCCGCGCCAGCAAUGACACCAUCACCCACAUCCAGGCGGAGUCCGGUGCGAAAGUGCAGGUUAUGCAAGAUCAAGAUCGCGUAAUUAUGCUUCGUGGGCAAAGGGAUACGGUCACCAAGGGCCGCGAAAUGAUUCAGAACAUGGCCAAUCGGGCUGGCGGUGGACAGGUGGAGGUGCUGUUGACAAUCAACAUGCCGCCACCGGGCCCCAGCGGUUAUCCGCCUUACCAGGAGAUCAUGAUUCCGGGCGCCAAGGUGGGUUUGGUCAUUGGCAAGGGCGGCGACACCAUUAAGCAGCUGCAGGAGAAGACCGGAGCCAAAAUGAUCAUCAUCCAAGACGGACCAAACCAAGAGCUAAUCAAGCCACUUCGCAUUUCCGGCGAGGCGCAAAAGAUAGAGCACGCCAAGCAGAUGGUGCUCGACCUGAUUGCCCAGAAGGAUGCCCAGGCUCAACAGCAGGGCGGUCGGGGCGGCGGUGGAGGUGGCGGCGGUCCAGGCAUGGGAUUCAAUAACUUCAACAACGGCAACGGCGGCGAAAGCGUCGAAGUCUUUGUGCCUAAAAUUGCAGUUGGCGUGGUCAUCGGCAAGGGCGGCGAUAUGAUCCGUAAAAUACAAACCGAGUGCGGCUGCAAACUGCAGUUCAUCCAGGGAAAGAACGACGAAAUGGGCGACCGCAGGUGCGUCAUCCAGGGUACUCGCCAGCAGGUCGAGGAUGCUAAACGCACCAUUGAUGGGCUAAUCGAGAACGUGAUGCAACGAAACGGCAUGAAUCGAAAUGGCAAUGGAGGAGGCGGUGGCCCAGGAGGAGACUCCGGAAACUCCAACUACGGCUAUGGAUACGGCGUUAAUCACGCCCAAGGUGGACGGGAGGAAAUUACAUUCCUAGUUCCCGCUUCCAAAUGCGGAAUUGUUAUUGGUCGUGGCGGUGAGACCAUCAAGCUGAUCAACCAGCAAUCUGGAGCCCACACCGAAAUGGAUCGCAAUGCCAGCAAUCCCCCCAAUGAGAAACUCUUCAAAUCGAAGGGCACCACCGACCAGGUGGAGGCAGCCCGCCAAAUGAUUUCCGAGAAGAUCAAUAUCGAGCUCAAUGUCAUUUCUCGCAAACCCAUCGGUGCAGGUCCCGGCGGUGGUGGCGGAAAUUCGGGCGGUGGCCAGAACAACUCCCACCACAAUCAACAGCAAGGCGGCUAUGGCGGCCAGAAUCAAAUGCAGGGCGGAGAUCCCAAUUCGGGAGCUGGCUAUCAACAACAGCCCUGGGGUGGACCAUACGGUCAGCAGGGUUGGGACCCUUCCGGUCAACACCAGCAGCAAAUGGCCAUGGCUAAUCAAGGAGCCGCUGCUGCGGGUGGAGCUACCGGUGGCCAAGACUACUCGGCGCAGUGGAUAGAGUACUACAAACAAAUGGGAUGCCAUCGUGAGGCUGAAAUGAUUGAGCAGCAAAUGAAGGCCAAGCAAUCGGGCGGCUCCUCAGGUCCUGUCCAGCCACAACAGCAGCAACAACAAGCCCAACAGUCCCAACAGCAACCAGGAGGCGCCGGUCCCGGAGGAGCCGACUACAGUGCUCAGUGGGCGGAGUACUAUCGCAGCGUGGGCAAGAUCGAUGAAGCGGAGGCCAUCGAAAAGACAUUAAAGAAUAAGAAUGGAGCCGGUGGUCAGAGCAAUGCGCCGAAUCCCAACCAGGGCGGUCCUAACCCCGGCCAGCAGCAGCCCAAUCCCGCUGCGGCGGCUGCAGCUGCUGCUGCUGCAGCGGCGGCCGGCGGUUAUGGCCAGAGCAUGACGCCCAGUCAGUAUGCACAGUAUUCGCAGUAUUAUGCAGCUGCGGCUGCAGCUGGUGGUCAGCCUCAGGGAGCGCCUCAGCCUGGCGGAGGGCAGGGCGGUCCGCCGGCCAACUAUCCUGGCAAUUAUCCGGGCGCUGGCUACGGCGGCUAUCCCGGUGCGCCGGGGCAACAACAGCAGCAACAGAAAUCGCACAAAAACGACAAACACUGAGGACGUUCGGUGGGAUCGGAAUCAGGGGCGGAGAGGAGGCGUAUGUGGGAGUGGAAGCGAACGCCGAAGUGGAAGAUGCUGCGGUCUGAGGACGAUGCAGGUGCCUUGAAUGGGUGAUCUAUUGUUCUACUAUGUCCUAUGUCUUUUAAUCCCCCCACAAAACUAGCAAAUCAGAAA